CGGCGGCGGGCGGCGGGGGAUUGGUCAGCAGCUCGGAGGGGGUGGGCCCGCGCCGCGCGCAGCGCCUCGGCUGGAGCGCCAGGAGCAGCUCCCGCCGCCUCAGUCGCCUCAGACUCGGUCGCCUCAGGCUCUGUCGCCGCCUCGAUCGCCCCGUCGUCACCCGCUCCCCCCCCAUCCCGGCCCCACCCCGGGCUCCGGCCCGGGCCAGCCGGCGGGCACGCCCUCCUCCGCGGACAGUUGAGUACCUUCAGGUAUCUUCAAGCCCUCCUUGGAGCAGGGCUGAUGCUGCGUCUUAGCACAGCUCUCACAGCAUGGCCUGGAAGUCGCAUCAUCUGGAACCCUGGACUCAACAGACCCCAAAUGCCUUCAGGACCUUUUUUCAGUCAGUGCUUAUGUGUAUGCCCAGAAGCCACAACUGGAUAUUCAUAGUUUUGAAGGCACAUUUACCAGGGUAAGUUAAAUCUUGUGUUAAAUACAAAUAUAUUCAUUGUGUAUAUACGUUAAAAACAGCAAACCUUAAAUUUGAAUAAAUGAGAACAGAAGCUUUGAACUGAAAAGGGAAAGCCUAGAGAAUGUUUCAAGUUCUUAAAUUUUCCCACAUCCGGUCUCUGUGGGAUAUACUCAGUACAGUGUUUUUGUUUAGCAUAUUUACUCUGGAGAAAGUCCUUCUCCCUGAAAAUAUUACGAGCCAGUAAGAUGAAGUACUUUCACUAGUUCAGUGUGAGUUUGGAUAGGAUUUAAUAGACUGUGAUACCCACAUUGUUUCCUGGUUUGUAUUGACUGGAUGGCUGUGCAUCUGCUCAUGUACACGUGUGUGCUUCAUUGGAUUCUUUGCACGAUCAUGGUGUUUUGCUAUAGCUUGAAGUCCCUUCUCCCCAGUGACUCCCCAAUCAGAUUUGGAGGACUCAGUAACUUUUGAUUUUAACAGCUGAUAUUAUAAAUGCUUCAUAAUACUUAAGGGGUUUGUGGGGGCACCUGGAUGGCUCAGUCGUUAAGCGUCUGCCUUCGGCUCAGGUCACGGUCCCAGGGUCCUGGGAUCGAGCCCCACAUCGGGCUCCCUGCUCAGCAGGAGGCCUGCUUCUCCCUCUCCCACUCCCCCUGCUUAUGUUCCCUCUCUCGCUGUGUCUCUCUCUGUCAAAGAAAUAAAUAAAAUCUUUUAAAAAUAUAUAUAUAAUCCUUAAGGGGUUUUAGUAUAUGUCUAUAGUUUACUUUUAAUUGCUGCAGAUUUCUGUUGGUAUAGUCUGCUUCGUUUCCCUCUUGUUCACGUACCAGGAUUAGUGAGCAGUUGUCAUCAUUUGAGAAA
rnacentral:lncRNA from 1 species